UGCGGGGUCUUCUAAUGGUAGGAAUAUCGGCUCUGAACCGAUCAAUCGGGGUUCGAAUCCCUGCCCCGCAGCAA
rnacentral:tRNA from 1 species